AAGUGGUCCCUCAAGUUACCCUCGAGCCUUAUAGUGAUUUUUGAAGUUAAAAAUUACUCAUAUUCAUUCCUGAAGUUGCACUCCGGGACUCAGACUCGUCCUUCCUGCUAAUUUCGUCCAGUUGGUGCAAUCGGAAAGCUGACUUGGACUCGUUGGUAACACGCUAUCAGCACAACGGCUAGCUGACGUGAAAACAUAAACUGUUUUGACUCAAUUUGGUCCUCAAAUUGAAGUUAAAAACUCUAAUCCCCAAUUGACUCUCUUCUCCAUCGCACCGGAGAUUGAAUGUGCUAUUGCUAUAAAACUUUUGUCCAAAGAGUCCAACGAAUGCAGUUCUGAUAUUGCAAAGAAACUUGCAUAUUGCCUUGCAUUGCUUCCGAAAUCAAAAGAAGAUGAAGAAAGCUGGUCUGUGAUGCUACAGAAGCUCUUGAUUUUGACAAAUGAUAAAUUAAAUUUUGCCUUUCAAGAGAAGAGAGUCAAUUGGGGAUUAAGGUUUUUAACUUCAAUUUGGGGACCAAAUUGAGUUAAAACAGUUUAUGGCGCUACGUCAGCUAGCCGUUGUGCUGACAG